CGGAAUCACUGGGCGUAAAGAGCGUGUAGGCGGGGUUAGUUUAAGUCAGAAGUGAAAUACCUAUGGCUCAACCAUAGAACUGCUUUUGUAAACUGGUAACCUAGAGUAUGGGAGAGGUAGAUGGAAGUUUCUGGUGUAGGGUAAAAGUACCGUAGAGAUCAGAAGGAAUACCGAUUGCGAAGGCGAUCUACUGGAACAUUACUGACGCUGAGACGCGAAAGCGUGGGGAGCAAACAGGAUUAGAUACCCCUGGUAG
rnacentral:rRNA from 1 species